CCUCUCGGGCUUGUUACUACCUUUUUGUUACUGAUGAUUGUUAUUGGGAUCCAUUUUCUUUUAAUUGCUACAAAAUGUUCCCUGAAUUUCAGUGCAGGCGAAGUCCUUUUGGUUUCCCAGUUACUCAGUUUUCCUCUUUUGGAAUUUUUUUUUAUGGCCAUCAGUAAAUUAAGCUAUUUGCAACAUUCUGUCUUCACGGUGGCAAGAAGCGACUUUUUUGUAGCCAAUAUCGCCCUGAUAGCUAUUACCAUUCUGAUUGGCCUACUGCUUGUUCCUAUUUAUUCAAGCUUCUCGAGUUCUUCGCCUUUUUUCCUGCGCUCUUCUUGUUUGUGCUCCACUUUGUUCGGGAAAAAGCGUAGCGGCGUUUGUUUUAAUAUUUCUGUUCAACGAGCGGCCUCGAUUGGUUUAUUUGUUUGUCCUUCUUACUCUGACGUUGGCUGGACUGCUUGUGUUUGAACUGGAUA